UUUUGGACAAUGGGGGCAACCCUGAUCCAGCCAUUCCGCGUGAGUGAAGAAGGCCUUCGGGUUGUAAAGCUCUUUUGUCCGGAACGAAACGGGGCGGGCUAAUACUCUGCCCUACUGACGGUACCGGAAGAAUAAGCACCGGCUAACUACGUGCCAGCAGCCGCGGUAAUACGUAGGGUGCGAGCGUUAAUCGGAAUUACUGGGCGUAAAGCGUGCGCAGGCGGUUUUGUAAGCCAGAUGUGAAAUCCCCGGGCUUAACCUGGGAAUGGCAUUUGGGACUGCAAGGCUGGAGUGCGGCAGAGGAGACUGGAAUUCCUGGUGUAGCAGUGAAAUGCGUAGAUAUCAGGAGGAAUACCGAUGGCGAAGGCAGGUCUCUGGGCUGACACUGACGCUCAUGCACGAAAGCGUGGGGAGCAAACAGG
rnacentral:rRNA from 1 species